rnacentral:rRNA from 1 species
AUUGAACGCUGGCGGCAUGCCUUACACAUGCAAGUCGAACGGCAGCACGGGGCAACCUGGUGGCGAGUGGCGAACGGGUGACUAAUGCAUCGGAACGUACCCCUCAGUGGGGGAUAACGUAGCGAAAGUUACGCUAAUACCGCAUAUUCUGUGAGCAGGAAAGCAGGGGAUCGCAAGACCUUGCGCUGAUUGAGCGGCCGAUGUCAGAUUAGAUAGUUGGUGAGGUAAGGGCUCACCAAGGCGACGAUCUGUAGCGGGUCUGAGAGGAUGAUCGGCCACACUGGAACUGAGACACGGUCCAGACUCCUACGGGAGGCAGCAGUGGGGAAUUUUGGACAAUGGGGGCAACCCUGAUCCAGCCAUGCCGCGUGAGUGAAGAAGGCCUUCGGGUUGUAAAGCUCUUUCGGCCGGGAAGAAAUCGCACGGGCUAAUACCCUGUGUGGAUGACGGUACCGGAAUAAGAAGCACCGGCUAACUACGUGCCAGCAGCCGCCGUAAGAC